rnacentral:tRNA from 1 species
GGCUGGUUAGCUCAGCUGGUUGAGCAUGGUGCUGAUAACACCAAGGUUGUGGGUUCAAUCGCCAUUUGGUCCC